rnacentral:rRNA from 1 species
UAGUCUGCAACUCGACUACAUGAAGCUGGAAUCGCUAGUAAUCGCGGAUCAGAAUGCCGCGGUGAAUACGUUCCCGGGUCUUGUACACACCGCCCGUCACACCAUGGGAGUCAGUAACGCCCGAAGCCGGUGACCCAACCUAACAAGGGAGGGAGCCGUCGAAGGCGGGACGGAUGACUGGGGUGAAGUCGUAACAAGGUACC